GUGUCAGCAGCCGCGGUAAUACGUAGGUUGCGAGCGUUGUCCGGAUUUACUGGGCGUAAAGCGCGCGCAGGCGGUCCUGAAAGUCGAAUGUGAAAGCUCCUGGCCCAACUGGGAGAGGCCGUUCGAAACUUCGGGACUUGAAGGCGGGAGAGGCAGAUGGAAUUUCCGGUGUAGCGGUAAAAUGCGUAGAUACCGGAAGGAACACCAGUGGCGAAAGCGAUCUGCUGGCCCGCCCUUGACGCUCAGGCGCGAAAGCUAGGGGAGCGACCGGGAUUAGAAACCCUGGUAGUCC
rnacentral:rRNA from 1 species